CUACUCCUACUAGGGAUCCCCAUCUCCUUCGAGUUGCACCCCUCUCGAAGCCAGCCGUCGCCAUGCCCUGAGUGAGGUGAUGGCAGAAGACAACAAUGAUACAUCAUAGAUGGAGCUCGAGGCAAUGCUGCGAAGAGUGUCAAAUGGAGAUGGCUUCUCAUGGUAGUGAGGAUGUGUGUGUGUAAGAGACGCACACCUUAUUUUCUAAUGGUCUUGAAGUCAAUUAGGCAUACACUUGGAGUUUUUAUAUCGUGUACCCUAAAUUGUGACAUUUUAAUAAAUUGUUUAGAGUAUGUGAUGGUUUUUUUUCUGAUGUGCAGUGUCAUAAAGGUGGAUAGUUGUUCAGCAAAAUGAUAUAUGUACUUCAAGCUGGUAUCAUAAAAAAAUAUUUGCUUCGGUGUUCUGAAGUUUCUUGAUGAAGUGUAAUAUAUUUGACCAUUAGAGACACCCUUCACCAUAAGGCAUAUAUGUACCAAUGAUGUUAUUUCUUGAAGCCAAUUUGAAAUUGUAUAUCUCUUGUGAGUAACAAGUAAACUGCUCAUGUUGAUCUUA